rnacentral:rRNA from 1 species
UACGUAGGGGGCAAGCGUUGUCCGGAUUUAUUGGGCGUAAAGAGCGUGUAGGCGGCCACACAGGUCUGCUGUGAAAACUCGAGGCUCAACCUCGAGCUGUCGGUGGAAACCGUGUGGCUAGAGUCCGGAAGAGGAGAGCGGAAUUCCUGGUGUAGCGGUGGAAUGCGCAGAUAUCGAGGAAGAACACCCGUGGCGGAAGGCGGCGUCGUCUGGGACG